rnacentral:rRNA from 1 species
GACGAACGCUGGCGGCGUGCUUAACACAUGCAAGUCGAACGAAGUGGCGAACGGGUGAGUAACGCGUCAUCAACCUGCCCUUCAGAUGUGGACCACCGUUUGAAACGACUGCUAAUACCGCAUACUGAAGGCGGGUAUUGCGUCUGAUUAGCUGGUUGGAGGGGUAACGGCCCACCAAGGCUAGGAUCAGUAGCCGGGCUGAGAGGAUGAACGGCCACAUUGGGACUGAGACACGGCCCAGACUCCUACGGGAGGCAGCAGUGGGGAAUCUUCCGCAAUGGACGAAAGUCUGACGGAGCAACGCCGCGUGAGUGAUGACGGCCUUCGGGUUGUAAAGCUCUGUUAAUCGGGACGCGGUACCGGAAUAGAAAGCCACGGCUAACUACGUGCCAGCAGCCGCGGUAAUAC